rnacentral:misc_RNA from 1 species
UGUACAUACGUUUGGAUUUGGUUUAGACCAUGAUUCCUCUGCUAUGCAUGCUAUCUCAGAUGCAUCGGGUGGUACAUUUUCGUUCAUUGAGACUGUUGGUACUGUUCAAGAUGCCUUUGCAAUGUGUAUUGGUGGUCUCCUCAGUGUUGUAGUCCAGGAACUCAAGCUUACUGUUCGGUCAGCAUCACGUGGAGUAGAAAUUGGAUCCAUCCCUUCAGGAAGAUAUGCUAGUGAAAUUUCUGAACAGGGAAAGCAAGGGGUAAUAAACAUUGGGAACCUGUAUGCAGAUGAGGAAAAAGAAUUCCUUGUCUACUUGUCUGUUCCCUCAGCUGAAAUUGAGCAAGGCGCAACAAAGACAUCUCUGUUGCAAAUUACAUGUAGUUACAAGAAUACCAUAUCGGAAGAAAUGGUCAGUGUGGAGGGUGAAACAGUUGAGAUACGUCGGCCACCAGUGCUGUCUCCUACAGAUGUGGUAAUAAGUCGAGAGGUUGAUAGGCAGAUAAACAGGCUGGCAGUAGCAGAAACCAUUGCAGAGGCACAACGAUUGGCAGAAAUGGGAAAUCUUGAGGCUGCUCAAGCCGCGCUAACUAACCGAAGAGCGACCCUUCUGUCUUCUGUA